rnacentral:lncRNA from 1 species
CUGAGGUGAGGUACAGUAAUAAGGAGAAGCCCUCCCUCCCUCCCUCUGAUUAGAGACCCCAGACCAGGAUGUGAGCUCCAGAGACUUGAAGGAGACUGAGGUGAGGUACAGUAAUAAGGAGUAGCCCUCCCUCCCUCUGAUUAGAGACCCCAGACCAGGAUGUGAGCUCCAGAGACUUGAAGGAGACUGAGGUGAGGUACAGUAAUAAGGAGAUGCCCUCCCUCCCUCUGAUUAGAGACCCCAGACCAGGAUGUGAGCUCCAGAGACUUGAAGGAGACUGAGGUGAGGUACAGUAAUAAGGAGAUGCCCUCCCUCCCUCUGAUUAGAGACCCCAGACCAGGAUGUGAGCUCCAGAGACUUGAAGGAGACUGAGGUGAGGUACAGUAAUAAGGAGAUGCCCUCCCUCCCUCUGAUUAGAGACCCCAGACCAGGAUGUGAGCUCCAGAGACUUGAAGGAGACUGAGGUGAGGUACAGUAAUAAGGAGAUGCCCUCCCUCCCUCCCUCUGAUUAGAGACCCCAGACCAGGAUGUGAGCUCCAGAGACUUGAAGGGAGACUGAG